UACGAAGGGUGCAAACGUUGCUCGGAAUUAUUGGGCGUAAAGCGCACGUAGGCGGCGCAGUAAGUCCCAUGUGAAAGCCCACGGCUUAACCGUGGAAGUGCAUGGGAAACUACUGUGCUUGAGUACUUAAGAGGAUCGCGGAAUUCCCGGUGUAGAGGUGAAAUUCGUAGAUAUCGAGAGGAACACCAGAGGUGAAGACGGGUUGCUGGGCUGACACUGACGCUGAGGCGCGAAAGCCAGGGGAGCAAACGGG
rnacentral:rRNA from 1 species